rnacentral:sRNA from 1 species
UAAGAAUUGUAGAUUUUGUAGUAUUAUGUAGAUCUGUAAAUUUGGUCAUAUUAAGUAAUCAUCAUCAUUUGUAAAUUAUACUAAUUAAAUUCUCAUAAAGCAAACACCCACUAAGAUUCGGAGACGACGGCACGGUUUCCUUGAAUUCUCGUUAUUACCAGAUUUACCGCAGUGUCACAUUCCCACUUGACAUUAUUUUUUCCUUUUUUAAUAUAAAUACCGUACCUUCACAGUUCAUCCACCUAAUCCGAUCCGCUAAUUAAUCU